rnacentral:rRNA from 1 species
UGGGGAAUUUUGCACAAUGGGGGAAACCCUGAUGCAGCGACGCCGCGUGAUUUAGAAGGCCUUCGGGUUGUAAAAAUCUGUUUUAUGGGAUGAAAAUGACAGUACCAUAAGAAUAAGGUCCGGCUAAAUACGUGCCAGCAGCCGCGGUAAUACGUAUGGACCGAGCGUUGUCCGGAAUCAUUGGGCGUAAAGGGUACGUAGGCGGCCCAGUAAGUUAGAAGUGAAAUAAUAUAGCUCAACUAUAUAAAGCUUUUAAAACUGCUAGGCUUGAGAGAUGGAAGGGAAAGUGGAAUUCCUAGUGUAGCGGUGAAAUGCGCAGAUAUUAGGAAGAAUACCGGUGGCGAAGGCGACUUUCUGGUCAUCAUCUGACGCUGAGGUACGAAAGCGUGGGUAGCAAACAGG